ensembl:snRNA U6 U6 spliceosomal RNA
AUAACGAAACAUGAUAGCUGUGCUCACUUCGGCAGCACACAAAGAAGAUUAGCAUGGGCCCAGUACAAGGAUGACAGGCAAAUUCAUGGUGUUUCAUAUCUUU